GUAUCUCUUCCUAUUUGGAAACGAAAAGUUCCGCCACUAGACGUGCUGGGAAACGCCUCCUCCCGCUGGGUCCCUUCCCGUGCAGAGGCACUGUACAAACGAACACAAGAAAACGAAACGACGGCUCCGGGGAAGCUCACUGGCUCGAUCGAACCUCAAUCAACCGCCGAUUGGUGUUUUGGGGGGCGACCGUACGUAAACAUUGGCUUUGGGAAUGGAAACGGCUGAAGGCAGUCCCGUUAAGAUUGGUCAGGAGAGACCUCUGCUGCAAAGCACUGAUGAUGAGCAUGCUGGCUGUGAAGAUCGGCUUAAAUAUGUCGACCAAGACCCUGAAUCCUCUGCCCGUGAAAUGCAGUGCAUUGAGCAAAAGGCUGAUAUAUCUCUAAUAGAAUUAUAGGAUCGACUUGCUGAGGUGAAGCAUGUUCAUGUUAUGAUUUACCGAUUAUUCAUUUGAUCGACUUACCUUCGAGAUUACGGGUCAGAUAGUGGUCGACUUAUAAAGCUUCUCAUUGCAGAGGAGAAAGUAUUUGUACCGACAAAUCAGGGCCAGGCUGCUGAUUGCUCAAAUCAGUUUUGUAAUUUACCUGAUGAGGUUCUCAUUCAGAUCCCCGUCUCUGCUCCCACUGAAGUUUGCAGUGGGAACACCUGUGGGCUUUGGUUCCUGAUCUUCACUUCAGGGAUUCUGACUUAUCUAAGAGGCCGUUCUUCUUGGGCCUUGUGGGAAGAGCCUUUGCUCUUCGCGAGGGAUCUCCUAUGAG